UGAUCUUCAAACCUUGGAAACCAAACACCCCCUCCUCAUCUUCUUCGCUAAACAAGCCGGCUAUACCGCCUCUCUCUCGUGUCUCUCUCUCGUUCGGCUUCCCGAUUACAGAGGUGAGAACCUCACCCCAAACCUUCCCCCUGUAUCUCUUUUGCUCUCCUCUCCGGCGAAGUUUGAAUCGUAGAAGCUCCGGCAGCAACAAACGCGAAGCAGCUAUGGCGGUGGCUAGCAUGGAAGUUCGGCAGAACGGUUCCGGCGAGUUUGGUCAAGCAGGCAACAACCCAGGCGAGCUCUUCUUCUCCUCCCUCCGGUUUCCGGCGUCCCCUAUUCCAGUGGGCAGAGCAUCUCUGGCAAUGGUGGGAGGAUCGUGGCAACGGCGGUGUCGGCGAAGCUCGGCAGUGGCGUUCUUCUCCUUCCGGCGUGUCCUCUCCGGCAACUCGGUGGCUCAGGUGUUCCCCGCGAGUAGAUGGAUGGGAGGUGGUGUCACCGUGUUCCACCCGCGGGAACGCUUCAUGAAGAAGAAGAAGAAGGAUGGCGUGGUUCCCGAUAGCUUGGUUUUAUGAGUUGAGCAAAUGUUAGCGUUGGUUUUGGUGGGAUAAGCGAAUGAGGUUGGGUAGCCUUGGAGAGCGCGCUAGUGGCCUGUAGAUAGUGUUAUCUCUUCCUGUAUUAGUUGUUGAGGCCUGUGAGCCUAUGUGGUAGAGUUGUUAGACUGUUGUAGUUGUAGUAUCUGCCUGUGCGCCUAUGUUUGAUUUAGGUGUGGCAUAGCAUCUCCCGGAUUUAUGUAGUUCGCUUCCGCUUCUCUUAUGUUGAUGUUUAGUCGGCUUA